rnacentral:rRNA from 1 species
CCUACGGGAGGCAGCAGUGGGGAAUAUUGCACAAUGGGCGAACCCCUGAUGCAGCGACGCCGCGUGAGGGAAGAAGUAUUUCGGUAUGUAAAGCUCUAUCAGCAGGGAAGAAAAUGACGGUACCUGAUUAAGAAGCCCCGGCUAACUACGUGCCAGCAGCCGCGUUAAUAAGUAGGGGGCAAGCGUUAUCCGGAUUUCCUGGGUGUAAAGGGAGCGUAGACGGCAGAACAAGUCUGGAGGGAAAUGCCGGGGCUUAACCCCGGAACUGCUUUGGAAACUGUGCAGCUAGAGUGCAGGAGAGGUAAGUGGAAUUCCUAGUGUAGCGGUGAAAUGCGUAGAUAUUAGGAGGAACACCAGUGGCGAAGGCGGCUUACUGGACUGUAACUGACGUUGAGGCUCGAAAGCGUGGGGAGCAAACAGGAUUAGAUACCCCUGUAGUC